rnacentral:rRNA from 2 species
UGUGGCCUCAAAUCAGGUAGGACUACCCGCUGAACUUAAGCAUAUCAAUAAGCGGAGGAAAAGAAACUAACAAGGAUUCCCCUAGUAACUGCGAGUGAAGCGGGAAAAGCUCAAAUUUAAAAUCUGGCAGUCUUUGGCUGUCCGAGUUGUAAUCUAGAGAAGCAUUAUCCGCGCUGGACCGUGUACAAGUCUCCUGGAAUGGAGCGUCAUAGAGGGUGAGAAUCCCGUCUUUGACACGGACUGCCAGGGCUUUGUGAUGUGCUCUCAAAGAGUCGAGUUGUUUGGGAAUGCAGCUCAAAAUGGGUGGUAAAUUCCAUCUAAAGCUAAAUAUUGGCGAGAGACCGAUAGCGAACAAGUACCGUGAGGGAAAGAUGAAAAGAACUUUGGAAAGAGAGUUAAACAGUACGUGAAAUUGCUGAAAGGGAAACGUUUGAAGUCAGUCGCGUUGUCCAGGGAUCAACUCUUGCUUUUGCUUGGUGUACUUUCUGGUUAACGGGUCAGCAUCAAUUUUGACUAUUGGAAAAAGAUCAAGGGAAUGUGGCAUCUUUAGAUGUGUUAUAGCCUUUGGUUGCAUACAUUAGUUGGGAUUGAGGAACUCAGCACGCCGCAAGGCCGAG